UUCACAUGUAUGGGACGGUUGCACAUGUGGCAUACACAACAUAUUUGGGGCGCUUGAAAUUGAAUUGUGGCACAUGUGAGCUCAUUCCUUCAGGUUGUACCACUACAUCUUCCUCUGGGUGACACAUCAACAGAACACUGCCAGACAUGAAAAGAAAAUAUGGAUGCAGCUUGCAUACUCUUAAGUUCCAUGUGUUGAGUAUUAAUACGAUGCUCGACAGCUACACGUCUAUCUUGCUCUCCUGCAGUUCAGUUAUUUAAGGAUUGGCUUACCCCCUGUGCCUCAUCUCAAGAUAGGGAAUUGUUGUUGCAUGGUUGAACUCUGAUGUUCUCUCUUCCUUGCGAUCACAUGGCUGUGAGCUGAAGAUACUUGUGACUGCCUCUAUGUAAAAGAUUGUAAUUUGGAAGGCAGUGUUUGGGCGUCCCUGUAUGUUAUGCCAAAAGUAUGUCUGAUGGUCAUACGGCGAUCAACAUGGAUCCCCUUAAGUGAAGGUAGUGAUGUAUUGCACUGAUUGUGGAACUAUUGGGGCCAUGAUUCUCAGUUGCCAAGUAAGUUAUAACAUCGUUUAUGUUUAGCUAUCUUCUUAGUUUAAAAUGCGAAGUGUGAUGAUGAGCUUUUGCUUC